rnacentral:rRNA from 1 species
GACGAACGCUGGCGGCGUGCUUAACACAUGCAAGUCGAACGGAAAGGCCCCUUUGGGGGUACUCGAGUGGCGAACGGGUGAGUAACACGUGAGUAACCUGCCCUUGACUUCGGGAUAACUUCAGGAAACUGGGGCUAAUACCGGAUAGGAAUCCUUGCUGCAUGGUGGGGGUUGGAAAGCUUCGGCGGUUUUGGAUGGACUCGCGGCUUAUCAGCUUGUUGGUGGGGUAGUGGCUUACCAAGGCUUUGACGGGUAGCCGGCCUGAGAGGGCGACCGGCCACAUUGGGACUGAGAUACGGCCCAGACUCCUACGGGAGGCAGCAGUGGGGAAUAUUGCACAAUGGGCGGAAGCCUGAUGCAGCAACGCCGCGUGCGGGAUGACGUCCUUCGGGUUGUAAACCGCUUUCAGCAGGGGCGAAGCUUGUGGUGACGGUACCUGCAGAAGAAGCACCGGCUAACUACGUG